rnacentral:rRNA from 1 species
GACGAACCGUGCGAACGUUAUUCGGAAUCAUUGGGCUUAAAGGGCGCGUAGGCGGCGGCGUAAGUUUGAAGUGAAAUCCCAUCGGCUCAACCGUGGAAUUGCUCCCAGUACUGCGUCGCUCGAGGGGGAUAGGGGUCUGCGGAACUACCGGUGGAGCGGUGAAAUGUGUUGAUAUCGGUGGGAACGCCAGUGGCGAAAGCGGCAGACUGGACCAUUCCUGACGCUGAUGCGCGAAAGCUAGGGGAGCAAACGGG